CAUGAUAUUAAAUCUGUAACACAGAUAUUAAAUGCUCUCAGAAUCAAAGUCUGAAUGAAACUGAUCAUUAAAACAGUGUUUGGAGGAAGAAGCUCAACCCAGAAUAAAUGAUGAAAUAACCUGCAGUAAAUCAUGAGUGUUUGUUUCUAAAUCUGUGAGCAAAGAUACUGCUGUCUUCAGGUAAAUGAUGUGAGUGUGUUUGCAUAUUGAUCAGAUGCUUCAGUGCUCUGAGAGUGUUUAUAGUGCUGUGAGUUUAACACUUCAUCACUGACACACACAACAAUCUUCAUCAACAUGACCUUCAUCAUCAUCUUCAUCUGGACUCUCACAGCGUUUGCUCAAGAGUGUAGAGGACAGAUCAGCGUCACUCAGAGUCCCUCAACAGCAGCAGCACAACCAGGAGAAACAGUGACGAUCAGCUGCAAAACCAGCAAAGAUGUGCUCAGUAAUAGUUGGGGGGUUUAUUUAUUCUGGUACUUACAGAAACCUGGAGAAGCUCCUAAACUCCUGAUUUAUCGAGUAAAAGAUCUCUACACAGGAACUCCAUCUAGAUUCAGUGGCAGUGGAUCUAACAGUGAUUUCACUCUGACCAUCAGUGGAGUCCAGACUGAAGAUGCUGGACAUUAUUACUGUCAGAGUUUUCACUGCAGAACAGAUUCUAGUAAUAAUUGUGUGGGUGAUCGUGUGUUCACACAGUGAUAAAGCGUGGUACAAAAACCUGUGUCAGUCAGAGUCACAGUGACUGAACUGAUGCUGCAGCUGCUCAAAGGAGGAUCUGAAACUCUCUUUCAGGUCGGUUCAGCAAAUGCUUCACAUAAAGAUCAAACAAUGUCUCUGCUGAUUUAUU